rnacentral:tRNA from 1 species
GGAGAGGUGGCCGAGUGGCUUAAGGCGACUGUCUGCUAAACAGUACCGGUUUAUAUAAGCCGACGCAGGUUCAAAUCCUGUCCUCUCCG